GGGGGAAUAUUGCACAAUGGAGGGAACUCUGAUGCAGCGACGCCGCGUGAGUGUUGAAGGAAUUCGUUUCGUAAAACUCUGUUCUAUGGGCAGAAAAGGACUGUACCAUAGGAGAAAGCUCCGGCUAAAUACGUGCCAGCAGCCGCGGUAAUACGUAUGGAGCGAGCGUUGUCCGGAAUUAUUGGGCGUAAAGGGUGCGCAGGCGGCAUUACAAGUUGGAUGUGAAAUAUUGUGGCUCAACCACAAACGUGCAUCCAAAACUGCAAAGCUUGAGUUAAGGAGAGGUAAGUGGAAUUCCUGGUGUAGCGGUGGAAUGCGUAAAUAUCAGGAGGAAUACCGGUGGCGAAGGCGACUUACUGGACUUAAACUGACGCUCAGGCACGAAAGCGUGGGGAGCAAACAGG
rnacentral:rRNA from 1 species